rnacentral:rRNA from 1 species
UUAAAUUGAAGAGUUUGAUCAUGGCUCAGAUUGAACGCUGGCGGCAGGCCUAACACAUGCAAGUCGAACGGUAACAGGAAGCAGCUUGCUGCUUUGCUGACGAGUGGCGGACGGGUGAGUAAUGUCUGGGAAACUGCCCGAUGGAGGGGGAUAACUACUGGAAACGGUAGCUAAUACCGCAUAACGUCGCAAGACCAAAGAGGGGGACCUUMGGGCCYCUUGCCCUCGGAUGUGCCCAGAUGGGAUUAGCUAGUAGGUGGGGUAAMGGCGCACCUAGGCSMAGMRUCCUAGCYGGUCUGRSAGGAUGACCAGC